rnacentral:rRNA from 1 species
AUUGAACGCUGGCGGCAGGCCUAACACAUGCAAGUCGAGCGGAUGAAGGGAGCUUGCUCCUGGAUUCAGCGGCGGACGGGUGAGUAAUGCCUAGGAAUCUGCCUGGUAGUGGGGGAUAACGUCCGGAAACGGGCGCUAAUACCGCAUACGUCCUGAGGGAGAAAGUGGGGGAUCUUCGGACCUCACGCUAUCUGAUGAGCCUAGGUCGGAAUAGCUAGUUGGUGGGGUAAAGGCCUACCAAGGCGACGAUCCGUAACUGAUCUGAGAGGAUGAUCAGUCACACUGGAACUGAGACACGGUCCAGACUCCUACGGGAGGCAGCAGUGGGGAAUAUUGGACAAUGGGCGAAAGCCUGACCCAGCCAUGCCGCGUGUGUGAAGAAGGUCUUCGGAUUGUAAAGCACUUUAAGUUGGGAGGAACGGCAGUAAGUUAAUACCUGGCUGUUUUGACGGUACCAACAGAAUAAGCACCGGCUAACUACGUG